GUUCGCAUGGCGAAAUGGAUAACGCGUCUGCUUCCGGAGCUGAAGAUUGUGGGUUCGAGUCCCACUGCGAACG